rnacentral:lncRNA from 1 species
UUUUUAUGUCCCUUUUUAUGACCAGCUUGGUCAUUUGGUCUGGAUGGAGUCAUUCAACUCGGAAAGAAAAAAGAAUUUGAGAAUGCUUUAUCUUUCAUGCAAUAGUUGCGGUCAAUUGUUCUUGGUUUUUCCUGUAGUAGUUGAUAAUCAGUCUGAACAAUAGUAGAUUAGUAAAGCCAAUAGCAGUUAAUUUGAGACGACUUUUAUCUUCCCUACAGUAGUUAAGGUUGAUUGUUCUUAGUUUUCCCUGUAGUGUUUAAUUUGAUUGUUCUGAGCAUUCAAAUUGUACUCUGUUUGUUUCUCUCCUACUCUUUUCUGACAAAUGUUAUUAUCUGUGCUUCAUUACUACUCUCUCUAAAUCAUGUGAGAGUUGAAUGAUGUUGCAGGAUAACUAUUGAUGGUGAAAAGAUUGUUGUUUUUUAUACUGGUAUAGGGGGGGUAUAAUACAAAUGGUCCUUCAAAUCCAGUUGGAAGCUCCUCCCUGUAAUUGAUGAAGGCAGGAUUUACUAUUUCUAGGGAGUAAGAGGUUUAUUUGUUGAACCAUGAUAUCUAAGGGAGUAAGAGGCAACGUCCAGGUUGGUACAUAAUGGUUCUUAGUCUUUUGCUUUAUGACAUCGAAUGAACUUUGCAAUUCUAAGUGUCUAUCAUGUCCUGCAUAGUUUUUUAUUUUGUGUAAGCUGAGAGUAUUCAUAGUUCCAUUUUCCUAUUUUUGGCAGGGGUAUCUAAGAGAGCUGGUCCAGGCUUGAUGGAAAUCGCUUAGUACAUUCAUGGGAUCACAAACUUUUGGCAUUGGUUGAGAUUAGUGACGCAGGACCAUUAAUAACUAGAAGACUGUGACAAUUAACUUACUGUUUCAUGAAUUAGAGAGGCUGGGUUGGACCAACUCCAUGUUACAGGCCCUUUCCUCAUUGCAUUUCUCUUGACAUUAAAUUGAUUAAAUUAUAAUUUCAGUAGGAAAUCUACAACAUACUCAGAUCAUUAUGAUUACUCUUUGCUGUUUUUGUUUCUAUAUCUAAUUGAUAUAUAGAUUUUGCAUCUUGUCCUAUGACAUGUACUUCUGUAGUUGUGUCCAUUGGACUUACUCUUUUCAUUGUGGCAUCAUGAUUCCUCCUUUUCUUGGCUUGCUAUAUAUGUUUGUUUCAUGGUCCAGUUGGUGUUCCAAAAAUAUGCUCAAUUGUUAUAUGUAUCAAAUACAGUCUCUCCCAGUGGUGUACCAUCUGCUUAUUGUUUUACAUACAGUCGCUUGAUUAUUUUUGUUCCUCUAUAGGCCUCUGGUCCUGUCUGCAGUGUACGGCUAGGUUGUUCGUCCGCCUAGGUCGUAGGUUCUUUCCUUCCUGUUGACGGCAGGUACAAGACUCGAGCAAUGGUUAACGGGCAAGCACUAUAUACACCAUUCAUCUAUGCUAAUAUAGCCUAUCUUUUAAAGCCAAUGUAUGCUAUCACCAAUUGAUCGGAAUAUUUUCUUUCAAGCAUAGCUUUCAUGUAAUGGAAUAUAAGUAUCUUUAUAAGUUGAUUCUAAAUCAAUCUCAUACACAUACUUUGAAUGCUUGGCUCGCUCUCGCUUUUUGCGCCAUGGUCAAGGGUGCAACGAUGACUCUGUCUAAUGUUUAUCACUUCAUAGCGCCUAUAUGUGACUAUCUACUUUGUUUGCUAAUAACAUUGUAAAUAAUUAAUCGUAAGCUUCUUAGAACACUAUGUAUCAUUACUAAGUAUCUAUCUACCAGCAAUAAGUACUUAUUUUCAU